ACAGAUCGUUCAGAGUUUGAUCCUGGCUCAGAACGAACGCUGGCGGCAGGCUUAACACAUGCAAGUCGAGCGCCCCGCAAGGGGAGCGGCAGACGGGUGAGUAACGCGUGGGAAUCUACCCUUCACUACGGAACAACUCCGGGAAACUGGAGCUAAUACCGUAUACGUCCUUCGGGAGAAAGAUUUAUCGGUGAUGGAUGAGCCCGCGUUGGAUUAGCCAGUUGGUGGGGUAAUGGCCUACCAAGGCGACGAUCCAUAGCUGGUCUGAGAGGAUGAUCAGCCACACUGGGACUGAGACACGGCCCAG
rnacentral:rRNA from 1 species